UCUUUCACCAAGAAGUCAAACCUUACUGUACAACAGAGAACACACACAGGAGAGAAACCUUAUGAAUGUAACCUAUGUGGAAAGGCUUUCACCCAGAACAUACACCUUUCUCUCCAUCAGAAAAAAAACCCACCAGAGAGAAAUGUUAUGCAUGUAGCAGGCACGGAAAUUCUUUCACCUGGAA